GAUGAAGAACGCAGCGAAAUGCGAUAAGUAAUGUGAAUUGCAGAAUUCAGUGAAUCAUCGAAUCUUUGAACGCACAUUGCGCCCGCCAGCACUCUGGCGGGCAUGCCUGUUCGAGCGUCAUUUCAACCAUCAAGCCCCCAGGGGCUUGUGCUGGGGCCCUGCGGCUGCCCGCAGGCCCUGAAAACCAGUGGCGGGCUCGCUAGUCACACCGAGUGUAGUAGUUCAUCUUCUCUCCGGUCUUGUGAGGCGGGUUCCGGCCGUGAAACACCACACUUCAUUCAAGGUUGACCUCGGAUCAGGUAGGAAUACCCGCUGAACUUAAGCAUAUCAAUAAGCGGAGGA
rnacentral:misc_RNA from 1 species